UACGGAGGGUGCGAGCGUUGUCCGGAAUCAUUGGGCGGAAAGGGCGCGUAGGUGGCUUCUUAAGCGUGCGGUGAAAGCCUGGGGCUCAACCCCGGGUCGGCCGUGCGAACUGGGGGGCUGGAGCACUGUAGAGGCAGGCGGAAUUCCGGGUGUAGCGGUGGAAUGCGUAGAGAUCCGGAAGAACACCGGUGGCGAAGGCGGCCUGCUGGGCAGUUGCUGACACUGAGGCGCGACAGCGUGGGGAGCAAACAGG
rnacentral:rRNA from 1 species